AACGAACGCUGGCGGCAGGCCUAACACAUGCAAGUCGAGCGCGCCCUUCGGGGUGAGCGGCGGACGGGUGUGUAACGCGUGGGAACGUGCCCUUUUCUACGGAAUAGCCUCGGGAAACUGAGAGUAAUACCGUAUACGCCCUUUGGGGGAAAGAUUUAUCGGAAAAGGAUCGGCCCGCGUUGGAUUAGGUAGUUGGUGGGGUAAUGGCCUACCAAGCCGACGAUCCAUAGCUGGUUUGAGAGGAUGAUCAGCCACACUGGGACUGAGACACGGCCCAGACUCCUACGGGAGGCAGCAGUGGGGAAUCUUAGACAAUGGGGGCAACCCUGAUCUAGCCAUGCCGCGUGAGUGAUGAAGGCCUUAGGGUUGUAAAGCUCUUUCAGCUGGGAAGAUAAUGACGGUACCAGCAGAAGAAGCCCCGGCUAACUCCGUG
rnacentral:rRNA from 1 species